CCUACGGGUGGCAGCAGUGAGGAAUAUUGGUCAAUGGGCGCUAGCCUGAACCAGCCAAGUAGCGUGAAGGAUGACUGUCCUAUGGGCUGUAAACUUCUUUUAUAUGGGAAUAAAGUGCAGUAUGUAUACUGCUUUGCAUGUACCUUAUGAAUAAGGAUCGGCUAACUCCGUGCCAGCAGCCGCGGUAAUACGGAGGAUCCGAGCGUUAUCCGGAUUUAUUGGGCUUAAAGGGAGCGUAGGCGGGUUGUUAAGUCAGUUGUGAAAGUUUGCGGCUCAACCGUAAAAUUGCAGUUGAUACUGGCAUCCUGGAGUACAGUAGAGGUAGGCGGAAUUCGAGGUGUAGGGGUGAAAUGCGUAGAUAUCACGAAGAACACCGAUGGCGAAGGCAGCCUGCUGGACUGUAACUGACGCUGAUGCUCGAAAGUGUGGGUAGCAAACAGGAUUAGAUACCCUUGUAGUC
rnacentral:rRNA from 1 species